rnacentral:lncRNA from 10 species
CUUUUUUUUUGGAAAAAUGUUUUAUUUAAACCUUUUUAAUCUUUUACAACAAUAAAAUAUUGCGUCAAUAUAAACCCCUUGACUAAAACUUCACAUCAAACAUUACAGCGAAUUGUUUUCUUUUUGACAUCCAACUUAUCUGUGAAAGAAUUUCCUUUUAAACACAAUGCAGAAUUUAUUGAAAAUAAAUAAUUGUUGGCAACUGCAAUAGGCAAUUUGAAUAAAAUAGUUGAAAAAGCAACUCUUAAUGAAAAUAGCGUUUAUUAUACAUCAGUUACUAAAUGAAUAAACUAAAUGAUCUUUCUUUAAAUUAAUAACUUCAAAAACGUUUAAUAUACAAAACUGUACAGUUAUAAAGUCGGCAGAAAUAUUUGGGUUAACUCAGGUUCGAACCAUAGCAAUUAACUGCAAAGAAAAAAAAUCGAAACAAACAAAAAACUCCCAACAGUUGUAAAACAUGAACUCAGUGUGGGGGAAAAAAAAAUAAAAUCCCAGAACUAAAACCUAACUACCAACAGAAUGCAGAGACUUGACAAAAAAGUAGAAGGGUCCGGGAUUUGAAUUAACACAUGCUCUUCGACCUGCAGCUGAGGGAGACACAGUGUGGUGGACCAGAGGCCUGGCAACUCAUACUAACGCAUCCUCGACAACCGGGCCGGGCUUUCUGGUCCUUAGGUAGUUUGAAGCUUUGUCUACAGCAGCUGCGCCUAAAGGCCGGACUAGGCGGCCAGCAGUGGCGUGCAGCGCCCCCAGCCAGGUCUGGCCGGCGGCGGCUGGGUGUUGGGUGCUUGGCCGGCCUCACACGUGUGUGCUCCUUGGGAAUGAGGUUCGCCUGUGGACCUGGUGUGUGGAUACUAGCUAGCAAUAAAGCCACAGCAACUGCAUAUUUUUGGGAUCUCUACACAGCCUAGCCAGGUUUUUUUUUUUUUUUGUACUUUUUGUUUUUGUACAUAGUAACGCGAUACACACAGCUAUCUACACACACACGUUUGCACGCGCACGCACACACACACACGCACAGAGACACAUACACACAGAGAUUUAAAAAUAUAUAUAUAUUUAUAUUUUAAAAAGCAGGAACCCAGCCUCCCGGGCGCUCGCUAGCUCGCUGGAUCGUCGCUGUGGGCUUCCACCAGCUGUGCUUAUCAGAAACGCCGAGACAGCUCCCCACGAGCCCACACACAGACAGCGGUAUAUACAUGGGGGGAGAGGUGGUACGCGGAUGGACCAGAAUCCCUGUGACCUUUGCCAAUCAUUUCAUUGCCGUUCUGCACUGAGCAGAGAAUGCCUAUCCCCCACUCCCUCGCCACCCCUCCCCAAGGGUUUCUUACUCAGAGGGGGCGGUGAACUGGAGGUGAACCGAAAUGGGAGGCGCUGGCCCAGUCGCCAGCGUCUCCGGGUCGUGAUCUCCAGUGAAAGUAAUCGCGUGUGAAGGCAAAGUCUUUCCUCUAGGAGGGCCGAAGUGAGGUCGCGCGGAAGGUCGCCCUAGCGAGGCUGGGGGCCUGGAUUUCUGCGCGCAGGAAUCCUGGAGUCCGAACCAGACACGCACCACUUCCUUCUCCAACUGGAGGCUGUCUGCCAGCGAGGAG